CGAGCACUCUAGCGAACUGCCGUUGACAAAACGGAGGAAGUGGGGAUGACGUCAAAUCAUCAUGCCCCUUAUGUUCUGGGCUACACACGUGCUACAAUGGCCGGUACAGACGGACGCAAAGCCGCGAGGUGGAGCAAAUCCUAAAAAGCCGGUCUCAGUUCGGAUUGCAGGCUGCAAUUCGCCUGCAUGAAGUCGGAAUCGCUAGUAAUCGCAGGUCAGCAUACUGCGGUGAAUACGUUCCCGGGCCUU
rnacentral:rRNA from 1 species